AAUUUAUAGAUAAGAUUGCAUUAAUAAACACCAAGCACAUCUCUCUCCUUCCCUCCAUAUAUAUAGAGCAUACAUCCAUACUAAUUUUCUCACACCUUUACUAUCAUAUUCUAAGUUUAAUAUUGAUAUUGAUAUUGAACAAUGAAUUCCAAAAAUGCAAUGCUCAUCCUAGGUCUCUUGGCCAUGAUUCUUCUUAUCUCUUCAGAAGUUUCAGCUAGAGACUUAACUGAAACUUCCACCGAUACCAAAAAGGAUGUUGUUGAACAGACUGAUGGAUUAAAUAAUGCACUUUUUCCUGCUAUAAAGUUCCCACCUAUAAAACCCCCCAAACCUCCUCGUGGUAAUGGUUGCGGCCAAAAAGGUUGUUGUGGUAGGAUCAACCUAGGAUUUUAUUGCUCAACGUGUUGCUGAUAUAUGCUGGUGAUGCUGUUGAUGUGCAAGUUGAAGGCAACACUCAUGAUGCACUUUCUUAAUUACUACUACAUUAUAAAUAAAUGUCAUGAAUAAAUCAUGUUGUGUGUUUAUCAAGAGAAGCUAGCAUAGAUAGACUUCAAUCUCUGUUGUUGUGCAUCUUGCCACUCUAUAAUAGAUAUUUUCAUAAGUGGAAAUCAUGUAUAAAUAAAUAUACAUAUGUGUUAUCAUAUGUAUUAUAUCAAAUAUCAUUGUUGUUUAUGCUUUC